AACUAAAUAUUUAGCGAAAUAUUUAGAAACGAGCCAAUAGCUGAGCUCCUGGCAAGAGCGGGAACACACAGCCCCACCCAUACCUGGAUCAGUGGGUGCAACGUGGGUGAAAGGACUCAAAGAUGACAAGUUCUUCCCAGCCAGGUAAUAUCGAACGUGCAGUUUUGGCAGGAGUGAGGGCAGCACUCCAAGGAGCAGGUCCACCGGUGCCGUCCACAUCGUUAAUGAUACUCAAGAUGAGGGUGACAGUUGGAAAUGUUCUCCAUCUCUCUGAGGCUGUCUGCCUUGGGGGACUAGCACGAAGAAAUGGGACACCACUUGGUUACAGAAGCAACCGUGAAACCGGGCUGAGACGGCACCCGAGCAGAUGGGAUGCGUCGGCAAGAACAACUCCCUGAUGCACGAGAGAACAAGCUCAACCAUGGGCGUCGCUGCAAUGUUACUGGGAGGGUCCCGUCCCCCUCACUUAAAAUAUAAGUCGUUUGGACACCCCCACAUUUGCGAUCAAAAUAUUGGUGCAUGACUGGUCUACGAGUCUAGCGAUCUUUUCAUUGCUUCACAAUCAAAUCCGUUCCACUUUAUCAGUAGGGAGAAUACCCAUAGCAAUAGAAUUCAACUCCAUGUUUUCUAGACAAACAGCAUCACACACGCAGAUUCAACUCCCAUACUCUUUGAUUGACGCAUCGCGCUUGCCGCUAGUACUUCAGACCGACAGAUCGACUGUUCCACAGACAAGAUGAACAACAGGAAGUUUUUUUUAAAGAAGAGGAAAGUAAAUCAGAGUUGCCCAAGU